rnacentral:SRP_RNA from 3 species
UGGCAGGCUAGGCCGGCGCGCCAGUCCCGCGCUGUCACUGCAACCGGACUUACGGCAGGGCCGAAGGCGGCUGAGGCUUCAGGACACUGUUGUGGUCUUGCUGCUGACGCUGACGUUCUGUCCUUCAGGGUUUCGGUGUCGAUGAACCGAGUCAGGCUGGGAACAGAGCAGCUCUAAGUCACGCCUGGGACGCUUGGAGGGUAGCGGAACUGAGAAGGUAGCAGGGUCGCCUCAAUGGCGCUUUUGUUGCCGACUGUCGCUGCGCCUGCCG